rfam:Toxocara canis scaffold110, whole genome shotgun sequence.
GUUAGAUAGUGUUGUUGCAUAGGUGCCAAAAACGUAUCUCGGAAUGCUGGUUGGCUCGAUUUGCGCACUGAUGGGCGUCCUGACGAUCGCGUUGCCUGUUCCAGUAAUUGUCUCCAAC